CUCCAUGUGUUUUUGGGACCCGUCUUCUGUGGCCAUCUUCCCUUUCUACACAGUCACAGAAGAGCAUGUUUUUGUUUUUGACAAAGCUGUCACUGUUUAGUUGCUACCAGCUUCUGAUUUGCACAGAUAACAGUU